UACGGAGGGUGCGAACGUUAAUCGGAAUCACUGGGCGUAAAGCGCGCGUAGGCGGUCCGUUAAGUGGGAUGUGAAAUCCCCGGGCUUAACCUGGGAAUUGCAUUUCAAACUGGCGGACUAGAGUGCGGUAGAGGGAGGUAGAAUUUCCUGUGUAGCGGUGAAAUGCGUAGAUAUAGGAAGGAAUACCAGUGGCGAAGGCGGCCUCCUGGGAUCGACACUGACGCAU
rnacentral:rRNA from 1 species